rnacentral:rRNA from 1 species
UACGUAGGCAGCAAGCGUUGUUCGGAGUUACUGGGCGUAAAGGGCGCGUAGGCGCCUUCUAAGUCGAACGUGAAAUCCCUGGGCUCAACCCAGGAACUGCGUCCGAUACUGGAAGGCUUGAAUCCGGGAGAGGGAUGCGGAAUUCCAGGUGUAGCGGUGAAAUGCGUAGAUAUCUGGAGGAACACCGGUGGCGAAGGCGGCAUCCUGGACCGGUAUUGACGCUGAGGCGCGAAAGCGUGGGGAGCAAACAGG